UGAAGUGCAAAUCGCGCAUCUCUCAGUCAAUGUCCCAGUGGGGAGCAGACAUCUGGCAAAGGUGCUGCUGAAAGAUGCAUUCACCCUGGCAUGUAGCAGAAGGAGACAUCUGUAGACUUUGAAAUCUUCAAUAAAGCAAGUGAAAAUACAAGGAGGGAAAAUUUUUUUUAUUUAUUUGCUAGCUUGCUUACUAGAUGUAUAUGCAUCUUCAAUCAACAAGUGACUCUGAGUAGCUCACGCAGUUCUUGCAAUGGUGAAUUUUAAAAAGUAAAAACUCAUAAAAACGUUGCCAACCCACAAUGGCAAUUAAUCCAGAACAAAAAACAUAGUGCCUUGAAAUUCCAUACUCAACAAAUGUUCCCUUGCAGGAGGAACCAUCCCGGCUUGCUGAAACAGGUUGGUAUUAAUGGCCUUGUAGCGCACCAAAAGCCUGAGAUUACUUUCGCUCCAGGGAGAGAGACAUACUGUUCCAAAAAAGAGGACAGCAACAGAGAAGACCUGCCUCUGAGGUCCUUGUUAAACACAUUUCCUAAAGUGGGAAUAUGGAACUGGGGCGCCUCUGUCUAAUACCAGCCUCAGCAAGCAUAGCUUCUGAGCCGGAUUAACUAAAGAUGGAAACCAAAACACCUGACGAGCCAUAGGAUCCCCAUGUCUGAUCAUGAAUUAAUAAAAAGAAUUGAUGUCUGUCAGUUGAAUCAGUUCUGCUUUACUAUAGGCCUUUCUGGUCAAGUAGAGCAUUUCAAAAGGUUGCUUAACAGCCUCAUUCAAAUGGAACUGUAAAACAGAUAAGGGGACACUUGACACUCAUGAUCAAGAACUAUAAGAUUGGUUUGAAAUCCAUCAGAUCCUUAACUUUAAAGCAUUACAAAGUUCAUUAUAGUUUUAAGAUAUGAAUGUACUUUUGAAUUGCAUACCGGAAAUUUGGAAUAUUACUCUACGAGGAACUGUGAAUUGAUCCAAUGUGGAGAAGAGCAAACUGUUCAAAGUCAGAAAGAUAGAGGCUUCCCAGAUUUAUAAUCUCAACAUUAUGUGUUCUCAACACAUAAUUUUGGAUAUGUGUUUAGUUUCUGUCUAUGAACUGGCUCUUUACCACUGUAUUGGAAAGACUGAUGAAUAUUAUCUAAUGUGGUUAAAGUUUAAUGAUGUAUAGGAAAAAAUGUUAUCGAAUUAUUAUGUGUACCCUAAUAUGCUUUGGUUUCCUUUUAUUUUUGUUGUUCUGUUGGUGUUUUUGUGUUCUUUUCUUCUUUUGCAUACAUUAAAGCAGGGCUUUUUUUCUCACAGAAUGCCCAGAAUGGAGUUCCAGCACCUUUUU